rnacentral:rRNA from 1 species
AUUGAACGCUGGCGGCAGGCCUAACACAUGCAAGUCGAGCGGAGCGGCGGACGGGUGAGUAAUGCCUAGGAAUCUGCCUGGUAGUGGGGGAUAACGUCCGGAAACGGGCGCUAAUACCGCAUACUAUCAGAUGAGCCUAGGUCGGAUUAGCUAGUUGGUGGGGUAAAGGCCUACCAAGGCGACGAUCCGUAACUAGUCUGAGAGGAUGCUCAGUCACACUGUAACUGAGACACGGUCCAGACUCCUACGGUAGGCCGAAGUGGGGAAUAUUGGAGAAUGGGCGAAAGCAUGAUCCAGCCAUGCCGAGGGUGUGAAGAAGGUCUUUGGAGUGUAAAGCACUUUAAGUUGGGAGGCGUUUCCAACAGAAUAAGCACCGGCUAACUUCGUGCCAGCAGCCGCGGUAAUUC